GGGGUAUUGUGAUGUCAUUAUGGGGUAUUGUGAUGUCGUUAUGGGUAUUGUGAUGUCAUUAUGGGGUAUUGUGAUGUCACCAUGGGGUAUUGUGAUGUCAUUAUGGGGUAUUGUGAUGUCGUUAUGGGGUAUUGUGUGUAGAUUGCUGAGGAAUUGUUUUUAUUUAAUCCAUUUUAGAAUAAGGCUGUAACGUAACAAAAUGUGGAAAAAGUCAAGGGGUCUGAAAACUUUCCGAAGGCACUGUAUGCAGACUGCAAACAUUCUUUAAAUUUCAAUCGAGCUAUACAGGGGAUCUUCAGUACUAUGAACAGAACAUAGCCCUAACAUUGCCUAAAUAGCAAGUAUCACACUUGAUUUUUCUGAAGAUAAAAUUUGUAUACAGAUUUUUAUUAAGAUGAAUAACUUUCUACAGCUCUUUUCUUUUUGUUCCCAUUGGUUCUGCUCAGGCUGAUGUGUAUCCAGAUAGACAUUGGUUCUGCUCAGGCUGAUGUGUAUGCAGAUAGACAUUGGUUCUGUUCAGGCUGAUGUGUAUCCAGAUAGACAUUGGUUCUGCUCAGGCUGAUGUGUAUCCAGAUAGACAUUGGUUCUGUUCAGGCUGAUGUGUAUCCAGAUAGACAUUGGUUCUGUUCAGGCUGAUGUGUAUGCAGAUAGACAUUGGUUCUGUUCAGGCUGAUGUGUAUCCAGAUAGACAUUGGUUCUGCUCAGGCUGAUGUGUAUCCAGAUAGACAUUGGUUCUGUUCAGGCUGAUGUGUAUGCAGAUAGACAUUGGUUCUGCUCAGGCUGAUGUGUAUCCAGAUAGACAUUGGUCCUGUUCAG
rnacentral:lncRNA from 1 species